CGAAGACAGAGAGUGAGCUAGUGAAUAAUCGUGUUUAAUUGUGCGUUGACGGAGAGUUGAGAGCGAAACGAUUUACGGAAAAACCAAGUUGUGCACCACCACCACCACCAGGAAGUUACGAUCAAAAAUUUUAUUCUAAAGUCAAGGGGUUGGUCAUGGAGAAAAGUGAAAGAUUUACUGAUCUCAAACCACAAGUUCCAGGAGCUGAAAAUCCCAAGACUUCAAUAAAAAAUUGCAGUUCAUCCUCACUGCCCGUGUUUCGCACUCCACAACCGCCAAGGAAACUAAGAGAGAAUUCCCAGAGAUCCAGGUCCCAAAGCACUGGUUUGCAGCAUGCUGGUAAAAAGGACAGUGUGACAGAUACAGAAUACAUUGACACACAGUCAGAUGAUGGCUGCUUCAACUGUGAUGCCAAAAGGAGAUUGCGAUUUGAUAGCAUGGACAGAUCCUUGACCAGUGAAAAAAUUGAGGAAUUGUCAAGAGAAUUGAAAGAAUGG